GAUCCUGGCUCAGGAUGAACGCUAGCUACAGGCUUAACACAUGCAAGUCGAGGGGCAUCAGUUUGGUUUGCUUGCAAACCAAAGCUGGCGACCGGCGCACGGGUGAGUAACACGUAUCCAACCUGCCUCAUACUCGGGGAUAGCCUUUCGAAAGAAAGAUUAAUAUCCGAUAGCAUAUAUUUCCCGCAUGGGUUUUAUAUUAAAGAAAUUUCGGUAUGAGAUGGGGAUGGCGUUCCAUUAGUUUGUUGGG
rnacentral:rRNA from 1 species